GAUGAACGCUAGCGAUAGGCUUAACACAUGCAAGUCGAGGGACCGGCGGAUGGGUGAGUAACGCGUAUGCAACUUGCCUCUUAGUGGGGGAUAACCCGGAGAAAUCCGGACUAAUACCGCAUACUAAGAGAUAGGCAUGCGUGCAAUUAGUUAGUUGGUGGGGUAACGGCUCACCAAUGCAUCGAUGGAUAGGUGAGAUGAGAGGCGGAUCCCCCACAUGGUGACUGCUACACGGCCCAAACUCCUACGUGCGGCAGCAGUGAGGAAUAUUGGUCAAUGGAGGAAACUCUGAACCAGCCAAGUCGCGUGAAGGAUGACGGUCUAUGGAUUGUAAACUUCUUUAGUAGGCGAGUAAGUAGCCUAAGAAUAAGUAUCGGCUAACUCCGUGCCAGCAGCCGCGGUAAUUC
rnacentral:rRNA from 1 species